rnacentral:rRNA from 1 species
UACGUAGGGGGCGAGCGUUGUCCGGAAUCAUUGGGCGUAAAGCGCGUGUAGGCGGCCCGGUAAGUCCGCUGUGAAAGUCGGGGGCUCAACCCUCGGAUGCCGGUGGAUACUGUCGGGCUUGAGUACGGAAGAGGCGAGUGGAAUUCCUGGUGUAGCGGUGAAAUGCGCAGAUAUCAGGAGGAACACCUAUGGCGAAGGCAGCUCGCUGGGACGGUACUGACGCUGAGGCGCGAAAGCGUGGGGAGCGAACAGG